rnacentral:rRNA from 1 species
GAUGAACGCUAGCUACAGGCUUAACACAUGCAAGUCGAGGGGCAGCAUGGAAGAAGCUUGCUUCUUCUGAUGGCGACCGGCGCACGGGUGCGUAACGCGUAUCAAACCUGCCUCAUACUCGGGGAUAGCCUUGCGAAAGUAAGAUUAAUACCCGAUGUUGUUAUGUUACCGCAUGGUGAUAUAACCAAAGAUUUAUCGGUAUGAGAUGGUGAUGCGUCCGAUUAGGUAGUAGGCGGGGUAACGGCCCACCUAGCCUUCGAUCGGUAGGGGUUCUGAGAGGAAGGUCCCCCACACUGGAACUGAGACACGGUCCAGACUCCUACGGGAGGCAGCAGUGAGGAAUAUUGGUCAAUGGACGAAAGUCUGAACCAGCCAAGUAGCGUGCAGGAUGACGGCCCUCUGGGUUGUAAACUGCUUUUAGUUGGGAAUAAAAAAGAGGACGUGUCCUCUAUUGUAUGUACCUUCAGAAAAAGGACCGGCUAAUUCCGUGCCAGCAGCCGCGGUAAUACGGAAGGUCCAGGCGUUAUCCGGAUUUAUUGGGUUUAAAGGGAGCGUAGGCGGAUUAUUAAGUCAGUGGUGAAAGACGGUGGCUCAACCAUCGUUAGCCAUUGAAACUGGUAGUCUUGAGUGCAGACAGGGAUGCUGGAACUCGUGGUGUAGCGGUGAAAUGCUUAGAUAUCACGAUGAACUCCAAUCGCGAAGGCAGGUGUCCGGGCUGCAACUGACGCUGAGGCUCGAAAGUGUGGGUAUCAAACAGG